rnacentral:siRNA from 1 species
UUCAUAGGAGAUCAAGAGAAGUGU